GUUUUUAUUUCAACUUCAAGGACAUUCAAUAAAAUUUGAAUGACGUAGAAAAGAUUAGCAUAGCACCUGCGCUAGAAAAAUAUGCACAAUUAAAAAAAUGGUCUAAUUUUUU
rnacentral:snRNA from 1 species